UGGACUAGGGAAAGAUGGACACUACCAAGUUUUUCAUUAAUAUGGAACUUACAUUUUUCAGCUGUGUUCCAAGUAACCUCAAGAUACAAUGCUUUAAAAGGAUAGAAUUCGGAUUCAUGACUUGGAAGUGACCAGAAACCAUAUUUUCUAAUAGACUAAUCAGAACCAAUACUCUGACAAGUGGCCUGACUUCAAGCAGGAGUGUGAGGAGGAAUAUAGCUUUUCUUGAUGAAUGAAUUCCCCAAAAAUAUGAGCUCUAUGAAGAAAGAAGGGUAGGGUUUAUUCCCCAUCUCUCCACCUCUUAGAGGGUACAGAAGAAAGCCUGGCCAUCAUUUGACCAGCAAGAGUUGCUUCUGCUCCAUCUUCAUUACUGGACAAGCCAGCAGACACAGCAUUGAAGUGUUGCUGUGCAGCAGCCA